UACGGAGGGGGCAAGCGUUAUCCGGAUUUACUGGGCUUAAAGGGUGCGUAGGCGGGCCAUUAAGUCAGUGGUGAAAGCUCCGAGCUUAACUCGGAAACUGCCAUUGAUACUAUUGGUCUUGAAUUCGGUCGAGGUUGGCGGAAUGUGUCGUGUAGCGGUGAAAUGCUUAGAUAUGACACAGAACACCGAUUGCGAAGGCAGCUAGCUAGACCGACAUUGACGCUGAGGCACGAAAGCGUGGGGAUCAAACAGG
rnacentral:rRNA from 1 species